CUGUGUUUCUGCAUGAUCAACUCAAGGACUUCAUAGUGUAUUCGAUGUGUAGCCUACACUGCGCAGUUUCGUUUUGUUUUCAGAGAACUUGAAUAGGUUUUGAUAUCAUUUUAAAAAUCAACAAACACAAAAGAUCAAAAUAAUUUGUUUAUUUCAGUCAUGCCCAUGAUGAAUUCGUGCAGUUUUUGCGGUGUUCGUUCAUCGGAAUUACAAAGGUGUAGUCGUUGUAAGGUAGAAUUCUACUGCUCCAGGGUCUGCCAAAGAAACCAUUGGAAAGGGGGUCACAAAUUGGAAUGUAGAGAAAUCAUCGUUGAUGAAUUGUCAGAGUGUAGCUUUUGUGGCGUCCAAUCAUCAGAUUUACUGAAAUGUAGCCGAUGUAAGGGAGAAUUUUAUUGUUCACGAUAUUGUCAAAGAAAUCACUGGAAAGAUGGACACAAGAGAGAGUGCAAAGAUGUAAAUA